GAGGAGCUGGGGCUGGUCUGUAAUUAAGCACUGAGCGCGGUGGCACGCGUUAAGCACCAUGACCACAUAACGGGCCGUGCUUUGUUGAUAGUUGCGUGUUGAUAGUUGCUUUGGACCAGCAAAUGCCUGUCACAGCCAAGCCGUUUUGUCAAAUUCAUCUGAUCUGAACUAACUUUCUGACAGCGCCGCUCCUGCUAGAGUCUCGGCUCAGUGUCUUCCAGAACAGCAAGCGGUGUGUUUUCUGGUCAUCGCUUUUGCGUUUGGCUGUAUCUGAAUUAAAUUGUUUUUAACCACAGAUGAACAUCGAGCAAGCACAUGGAGUUCCAAAUGCUGAUCCUCAGAGAAUCCACGUGUGACAGAAAGGAUGGAUGAUCUUUUGACCGAGUUCCAGCACGGUGGAGUCUGCGUGUGGUAGUUUCAGGCCGAUGUACAAAAAGGGUAUAUCCUUAACCAACAUCUACCAUCUUGAAUGUAUGGGAAGGAAAAAACAACAGUGUAGUCGGCUUGUCUGGGCUUUGAGACUGCUUUGUGUCGGUGAUGCAAUGACCAAAGUUCAGCCCAGUGAUUUUGCGAUAAAACCAGUAUGAGUGAGGGGUUGCUUCCCAGAUCCUCUUAAUUUGUUUUGAGAAUUUAGAAUUGCCUGUAAUCAUUGGGUAAACCAACAGUCUUGAACGGACAACAAUGACGACCGCCUACUUAGAAGUCCCUGGAGGAUUCUAAUUGCAGUGUUGCCUUGUGACUGUGCUGAAUUAAGAAACAGAGCUGAGCUGAAGUUCCCAGACCAAGAGAUGUGAUGGCUACUUUUUUAUGCUUUUUCAUCUAAACAAUAUCCAGCAAUGUCUAAGUCUUUUUGCAUUGUUUAUCAUUUUGAAAAUGUUGGAGGAACCACGGCUGAGUGUUCUCCUGCUCCCACCCAUGCUUUGGGAUGCGAAAGAAUAACAUGAGCACAUAGAGGCCUCCACUUCCUCUUGGCUGCAUCUGGACCAUUUUAUUAGGCAAUGCACUGAGCCUGUGAUCAGUCUGAGAGCAGCUGAUGAUGAGCAGCGCCAGAAUAUGGUACUGGGCUGCUGAUCAAUUUUGCAUCUUUCAGAAGACUUGAAAAAUUAGAUUCAAGAAGCAUCACUCUCAUAAGCCACAGUCUCACCAUGAGGACAUUAGGGCAGCCACAUCUGUACAAAAUACCUUCACCAGCAAUCUUUCACCCUCUGACAAAUCUUUUCUUCUUGAAGACCAGAAAGAUUGUUAUUGAGCUUUCCACAAAGCUGAAAUAACGCUGUGUGUUAAAAAAAUGUUAACAAUUUGAAGAAGUUAUAAAAAUUUAUAAGUUGACUGAAUACUUUGGAAAUUUCUGCAUAUUUUAAUAUAAAUAGCCAUUGCAGCCACUGGGAAUGGACCUGGAGGGCUGUAGCUUUAGUGGGGGCCCCUGGACUGCAUGCUGCGUGCAGUUGGCAUUCUUCACCUGUGCUUCUGAGGUACCUCUUCCAGUUCUGUUUUGUCCAAAAGGAAUCCAGGCUGCGCAACUGGGGCCUGCUCUGUGAUGCAAAGUGCAGCACGAGCCUGUCAUACAGAAGUACCAUUUUACAGAGCACAGACACAGAGAGAAUUAAUGAUGUGCAUAAGUCUGCGUAAGGAAAUAUGUUACAGAACUGAUCUUGGGUUUUCUCAGCUUCUGAUGUUUAGCCACUGGACUGGCUCUCCUCGUGCUCCUCAGCACAGUUACAUUCCUUUCUCACUGUGGCUCUUGGUCAUCCCAUCCAGCACAGCCAAGGAGGCUGCCACAGAUAACAGCGAUCAGGGAAGAGACUGUCCUCUUGCUGCUCUUGCUCUGUGGUGUAUCUAUCUGUAGACAGCCUGGCUAAUUUAUAAGUCCUGGAAUCAGGAUCCUACAAGGAGUUGUACAGGAUAAACCACUUUUAUGAAAAAUAUCUUUCCUCUGGAUAAAAGAGAGCUACUGUGAGUCCUCUUCCACCGUGAUCAAGUUAUUUGCAGUGUAUAAUGUGAAAGACAAGUCUGGAAGUUUUAGAUAUCAUCUUUUGAAGAGAAUGAAACUAGAUUCAGUACAGCUGUCUGUAGUAAGAUUGAGGAGUGGAUGACUAAUGUCGUUGUGACUGGUGCCAUCUAAUUGGCUCAAAAGAAUCUUCUGGUUCUCAUGAUUGGCAUCACUUCCAUCAUGUGCAAGCCAUUGGAGAGCAAAGACCAUCUUUUGAACUGUCAUGCCACCCCCAGCUCUCCAUUGCCUAACCGAGGGUGCAUUGCAAUUGCUGUUCUUACCUACUGUAGUGGUGGAUCAUGGGAAAAAGCUUGCUCAGAGAGCCUCAUUCUGGAUGGGCCUGAUGGGGAGAGAUGGCACUCAGGUGAUGAAGAAAUACUCCACACUAUUCACCAGCCUAGCGAGAAGGCGGCUUUGUGCUCAUUUUGAAAGAGGCCAGUGCAAAAGUUAGCUAGAAGUGCCAUCAAGAAGACCCUUAUUGACCACGUUUUCUCCUUGCAUCCUGCGUUACAGAAUGGUUGUUUGUACACCUGCCUUUGUGAAGUCAGCUGGAGCUCAAAAAUUACUGCUCCUCAGGACAAGGACUGUGUCUUUUGUGCCUGUGCACCUCCACCAGGUGGAGGAUACAGACUUGAGCCUGCAGGGAGCAGAGAGCUCAGUUCCUGUAGAUGCUCCUUGGGACUGGCCUUCACAGCUGUAGGACUCAGCAGCCCAUGGCAGCCAGCCAAGUUGAAUGAAAAGCAUGUGUCUUUUGAAGAACAGUGACUGAAAGAAAUACUGAUGACUGCUGGGACAUCUACAGAAAAGGAUAAGAAAAUUACUCUACUACAACAGGGGCUCUGUUAACUCUUUCUUGUAGGUUGUAUAUAUUAAUAGCAACAACUAAAGUUUUGUAUUUUUGCAGGGAAACACACAAGGCUCUGAAUUGUAUUGUUUUAAUUGCAGCUAACUGAGUGAAUUAAGUGGAAAAUCACACACAGUGCUUUGAUUGUCUAACUCUCUGUAUGUGAGGCUUUGGGAACAGUUUGUUAUUAUAAAAGAACAGCACUAACAAGAAAUCAGCCAACAUAUAAUUGCCAGGCUGAGGGACAGUUUGGGGAAAGCUGAUAUUUAUUUAUAAAUUAUUAAAUAAAAGAACAUAAUAGGUGGAUCAUCUCUUACUGCCUCCACACUUCAGAUAUUACUCAUCUUCCUAAGCUCUGUGUUCUCCAGGACGUUGCUUCUUAUAACUAAUCCAGGAGUUGAAACCACCCACAUCCAGGAAAGGAGAUGCCUGUACAUUUGUUAUGAUGGCAGUUUCAGUUAUGGGACUCACCUAAGAACAUGAAUCUGCAGUUCAAGGAAAGGACUCGACCAGAGAGGUGCUUUAUGUGCCUAAAAUACACAUGAGCACCUGGGACCCUAUUUAGGUAGCCUAAAUUCUGGUCAGUGUUUCCUACUUGACAAUCAUCUAUCCAAUAUCCUAAAUAGAAGGGCUUAAGAGCAGUUUAGGCACUCAAUUUAGUGGGGUUCUCAAAAGCAUUAGAUAUAUUAUUUCCAUACAUUUUUGAAGGAAUGAUGCUACUUCUGUUUGUCUCUUGUUCUUUGCUCCACCUGUUUAGUGCUAUAUGACCCUAGAACCACAGCCACUUUGCAAGACAGAGAGGAGAAAGAUGGUAGUUGGACUCACCAAGAGGGUGGAACAGUAUUUCAUCAUUGUUUUAGCUACCGAAUAUCUGCUCUAGCUUUUCUCAGGGAUGGAGCUGCAGUGCCUUCCUCCAGGAUAGACUUGUGGUCUUUUCUCCAGGAGGGCAAAGAAAGAAGUGGACAACAUUCAAACAUGUAACCUGUGUGGUGGAAGCAUGAGGACAACUUUGAAUGCACAGUGAACUCCAAGAUGUGUGGCAGCUACAGAUAAGCUUAAAUUCUGUUGUGUAUCGAUGUUACUGCGGAAAACACAGAGCUGAGAGGCAGGUAGUUCUUUGUGUUGACUUACUUGGCAGUACGUUCACUUUUAGGCUGUGCUCAGAUACAGUGUUUCUAAUUAACUUAAGGGUUCUGCCGGUUCCCUGCAUGAAACAGACUUUUAGUGAUGUGAUGAGGCUGGAUGGGCAGG